rnacentral:rRNA from 1 species
CCUACGGGCGGCUGCAGUGGGGAAUAUUGGACAAUGGGGGGAACCCUGAUCCAGCCAUGCCGCGUGUGUGAAGAAGGCCCUCGGGUUGUAAAGCACUUUCAGUGAGGAAGAACGCCUGGUGGUUAAUACCCAUCAGGAAAGACAUCACUCACAGAAGAAGCACCGGCUAACUCCGUGCCAGCAGCCGCGGUAAUACGGAGGGUGCGAGCGUUAAUCGGAAUUACUGGGCGUAAAGCGCGCGUAGGUGGCUUGAUAAGCCGGUUGUGAAAGCCCCGGGCUCAACCUGGGAACGGCAUCCGGAACUGUCAAGCUAGAGUUCAGGAGAGGAAGGUAGAAUUCCCGGUGUAGCGGUGAAAUGCGUAGAGAUCGGGAGGAAUACCAGUGGCGAAGGCGGCCUUCUGGACUGACACUGACACUGAGGUGCGAAAGCGUGGGUAGCAAACAGGAUUAGAUACCCGUGUAGUC